CACGUAGUUAACCGUGACUUUCUGGCGGGGCACCAUCAGUCAGCACCCAUUUCCUGAUGCUGCCUUUUUUCCCCGCAACAGAGCUUUACGACCCGAAGGCCUUCUUCACUCACGCGGCAUCGCUCGUUCAGGCUUGCGCCCAUUGACGAAAAUUCCCUACUGCUGCCUCCCGCAGGAGUCUGGGCCGUGUCUCAGUCCCAAUGUGGCCGUCCGCCCUCUCAGGCCGGCUAUGCAUCAUCGUCUUGGUGGGCCUUUACCCCGCCAACCAACUAAUGCACCGCAGGUCCAUCCGCGCCCCAUCCCCUAAAGGAUGUUUCACAGAAAGAAGAUGCCUCCUUCCUGUACAGUCGGGAUUUGUUCUCCGUUUCCAGAGCGUACGUUCCCGGUGCGGACGGGCACGGUUCCCUACGUUGUACCUCGACCCGUUCGCCAUACGACGACCCGAAGGUCUCUUCGUUCGAC
rnacentral:rRNA from 1 species